AGCCCACGGCGAGAGUAAGAUGGCGGCGGCGGCGGCUUGGGGAUCCGGCAGCGGGGAUGCCAAACUCCGCCGGCGGCUGCUCCUCUUAUGGCUGCCGCUGCUGCUGCUUUGGGAAGCCGGGGCGGAGCAGAUGGAGGAGUACCUGAAGCGGGAGCAUUCGCUCACUAUGCCUUAUCAGGGUGUGGGAUCUGGCAGCUCCUCACUCUGGGAACUUAUGGGCAAUGCAAUGGUGAUGACCCAGUUUGUUCGUCUCACCCCAGAUAUCCAAAGCAAGCAGGGUGCUGUGUGGAACAGAGUGCCUUGUUACUUGAGAGACUGGGAGAUGCAGGUGCAUUUCAGAAUCCACGGGCAAGGGAAAAAAAACCUCAACGGUGAUGGCUUUGCCAUCUGGUACACAAAGGAUCGAAUGCAGCCAGGGCCGGUCUUUGGCAGCAAGGAAAACUUCAUAGGGCUGGGCGUGUUUGUAGACACCUACCCCAAUGAGGAGAAGCAGCAGGAGGCCCAGAAGAAGAGGUAUACUUCAGGAAACCAGCGUGUCUUCCCGUACGUCUCAGCCAUGGUCACCAACGGGUCCCUUGUCUACGACCAUGAGAGGGAUGGGAGGCCGACUGAACUCGGUGGCUGCACAGCCAUAGUCCGGAACCUGGAGCACGACACUUUCCUGGUGAUCCGAUACGUGAAGAGGAGACUUACGGUCUUGCUUGAUAUUGACGGAAAGCACGAAUGGAGAGAUUGCCUCGACAUUCCUGGAGUCCACUUACCCCGCGGAUACUUCUUCGGAAUCUCUUCCGUCACAGGAGACUUGUCAGACAAUCACGACAUAAUUUCUCUGAAGACCUACCAGCUGACGGUUGAACGGACACUAGAAGAAGAGAAGCGUGACAAAGAAGUCUUCCUUCCGGUGGUGGAGAACAUGAAGCUUCCUGGAAUGGAGACGCCGAUGGAACCCCUGAGUGGCCUUGCUCUCUUCCUGAUAGUCUUCUUUUCGCUGGUGGCCAUCGUCUUCGCCAUCGUCAUUGGCGUUAUCGUUUACAACAAAUGGCAAGAACAGAGCCGGAAGCAUUUCUACUGACCCACAGGCUUCCUCUUCGAUUCCUCCGGUCCUCCUUGCUUUCUGGAUAGCCAUCGGAUUUCAUCAGCAAGAGGCGAUCAUGGAAACGGGCAGCUCAGCGUGGGAAGCCCCCCCCCCAGUGCUCAAGGCAGCAUGCAUGAUGCUCUUCCGUCUGUUUUCUCUCCUAAUAAGAGCUUUGUGAGGUCAGAAGCUUAAUGGCCAAGUCUCUCCCUUUCCCCUCAGCGUGGCUGGCUCAGGAAUUCUGGGAGUUGAAGUCCACAAGUCAUGAAGGGGCCAUAGUUCCCCCAUGCUGGCUCAGGAAUUCUGAGAGUUGAAGUCCACACAUCUUCAAGUGGCCAAGGUUGAGAAACACUGCACUAGACCAGGGGUAGGCAGCUUUGGACGACACACUGGAAAUGAACCUUAGACAUUCUACAGACAAAAUAUGUCCUUGGGCUCCUGACCACAACCAACCUAGAACUUGGGUUUCAAUAAAUGUCCUUAAAGGAGAAAUGGCAUUUGUUUCUAUAGAAACAGCCCUGGAAUCAACAGGGAAAGCAUGAGCAGAAGCUCAUUGUGAAAUCACUCAGUUCCUUCAAUAGGACCAUGGCCACAUUGGUAGCAGAAUUUCCAGAACAUUUUGCCUCUUCUUAAAAAAAAAGACACCUUUUUAUUUUUGGCCAAACUGACUGAAAUCUUAUGCGUGUCUGCCUAUUUUUUGUCUUCAUAUAUGUUUCUGCCUUGAAAUAAACACAACUGUGAAAUGUC